AGGAGGCUGGAGGGCAGUAGAUGAAGACUGGUCCAAAGGGCUGUGAGCGGACAGCGACACUUAUAUCUAGCCUUUCUGUUCUUGGUUCCCAGAUACUUUUAACUGCAUAUUUGUACUUCAGUAAAGAAAGAAAGGGACACAUGGACAGCAGAAGUAGUAAGUGCAAGAAAUCCUUGAAGAAGAACCUUGAACAUAGAAUGAAAAAUGACCUAUUUUAUCCACAGAAGUUCCCAGCAUCCACUUUGGCCCUACUUUAGAGGAGCAGCCUGCGUUUUGACUCUGUGCCCAGCAGCAUCCUCGUGCUUCCUAAACUGUUAUAUAUCUUUAUCUAAAGUUUUCAUGCUCUGGACAAUAUUUUAAGCCACUGAAAACAUUAAAUUCAAUUCAGAAAACAGCUUUCUUUUGCAAGCUUCACUGUGAAUGCCACACGCAAGUCUCUCUAGGUUUUCCAACUAAACUUCAACAAAAUUUACAGUUCACAACACAUUUUCAGUUCAGCAGCUGUAUCAUUAAAUCUCUCAACAUUAAUUAAGGUGAAAUUGUUCUGCAAUUGCCAGUGAUUUUUCCUCAGACUGUCCUUUUAACAUUUUAGUGGUGUGACUGUAAGAUAUACCUUUAGCUUUCUUUUUCAUUUUUCUAUUUGUUUUAAAGAAUCAGGUUCCAAAGAAAUUCAUAUGCCACCUUAACCAGAAACGUAAUGCUGACACACACUUCUUCAAAAGAAUAUUAUCCACCCAACAGAAACUGCUCAUUUAUUUUUGUGUAUGCUAACUGCUACUUACUGUGGGUUUAAAUGAUCUCCGUCUUCCCAGUACAGUAAUCAAAAUUCUUGUCAAUAGUUUUUCUAUCUCCAUCUUUGCAUGGAAGUCAUAAGCGCAUUGGAACCACUUUACUACCUGCGCAGACACAAUGCUACUCAAAGAAAAGCCAGCAAAAAGUUAAAUUCCUACAUGCCUGCACAGUUGGUUUAUAUAUGGGUACAUGGGAUUACUUUAACGAAGGUAUUACCUCUCCACAGUAAGUAAUACAGGAUUUCAAAAAUGUUCAUGGUAUACUAAAUAUGCAGAUGAUAAGAUUUGCUCAACUUGUAUAAGACAUAUGUAAGAUUUUCUGAAGAUACAGGUCUUAUCCUAGUUUGUUAUCUAAACAGAUAUGAACAAUAAUACAAUAACCACACUGGAUAAACAAGUAGCUAAGUCAUUUUGGAGAUUUCAGCUUUUAUAUAUUUUUUGUUAUUAAUGUAUCUGCUAUUACCAACAUAUACCAGAUGAGUGGUGCUGAUGGUCCUGUUUGAUAUAAAUAGGACACAGAUCAUUAAAAAGAAUUAAAUAUUUAGAAAUCUGACAACUAUGUAACCAUGAUGCCUAUGAAAAAUUUGACUGCUGGUCCAAAAGUCAUUCAGUACUUCACAUUCAAAAACACAUGCUGCCAAUCAACGUUUACAUUCAAGUUACCCUUUUAGCAAACCACUUUAGCUUUUUAUAUAUUUCCCAGUUGCAUGCAGAAUGAUGAAACUUUUGUCCAAGUAUUAUUAAAUUAAUAUUCUUUGUGAUAAUUACAGAGUAGUUUUCCUUGCAUACUUCAAUAUUAAUAACUUGUAUGAGUCAAAGAAGUCAGAGUAUUCAGCUGGGUUAAAAACAGUCCACAGGAAACAUGAAUAGCAUGUUUUUCUGAAACAACUAUCAUACAUUAUUGAGAAAGAUCAUAUUCUUUGUGGUGGCACCACUCUAAAUAAUGGACUUAAAGGAAAUAAAUAAGUCAUUAUAUUCUUCCAAUUCUACAUUUGUAAAAUGCUGAAUUUUUGAAAUGAUUAUACUUUUAAUAUCCGACUUGAUAAGUAAGCACUUCAGCAUUCCUGUGGGAAGAUGAAGGGAAAAAACAUGAAGGAGGUGUAGUACUGAAAUAAUGAAAGAGUUGUUAUUUAGAGCAAUGAUAAAGCACAUUGCAGCAUACAAUGAUUUUAUUACAAAAUGAAUGUGUAAUUACAGGUUUGAGUUCAGGUGGCUUGAAUGACAGUACCUUAUAGGGAAUGAUGGAGUUGGGCAACCAGUCGGAGCUGAGGUACAAUGGUGAGGAACUGUUUGAGGUGAAACUAAAUGGAGAAGAGGAAAGACUGAGGGGACCAUAUGGAUGUGAAAUCAGGAUGAUAUCAACAUGCUGAGGAUCACACCUCUGAGAAGGAGCUUUGCUGAUGUUGGCAGAAACAAACAGAGGAGUUAAGGAGAAAAAGGAUAAGACAGUGGGAACCACUAUUCAAAUAACAAUAAAGGACAAAAUACCAUGGAUAGAUACCACAGCUGGCAUAAAUAAUUUGACCGUUUGGGUUUUUCAUACCAGAAGUGAGAUCACUCAUGCAGCUGGGAAAGGUGUAGCUCUGUUUGGUAGCUUCUGAAUCCUUCAAACAAAUUCAUAACUUUAGUUAAGCAUCAAGGAUAUAGUUACCCUUGUAAAACAUUUGUGUUUGCUUUCAUAGUAGCAGAAGCAAGAAAAUAAUUAUUGUUGAAUUUUGUAAUGAUGUGUGGACAGAAAAAGACAUCUUUGUUUUUCUUUAGUAUGCAAAAAUGUUUAUUCAAUUAAAAAUAUGUGGUGAACAGAUUA